UCCAGAUGAGAACCUUUAAGUUGAAAAGUAGUUACCAGCUAUGGCUAAACAACCUGCAUUAGUAGUCGUAGAAACAAUACCGACACUACCAACAAUGGUGAAAUUGACGCCGAUGGAUGAUGUUCAGGAUCCGAAUACCUCAAAUGAGUCAGAAUUGAACAUUACAACUGAAGAAACCGUUAAUGAAAAUGCAG